rnacentral:tRNA from 2 species
UGGGGGGUCGUCUAAUGGCAAGACUCCGGCUUUUGGAGCCGGCUAUCGGGGUUCGAAUCCCUGCCCCCCAG